AACGCACAUUGCACUCCUUGGUAUUCCGAGGAGUAUGCCUGUUUCAGUAUCAUGAGCACUCUCACACCUAACCUUUGGGUUAUGAUGUGGAAUUGGGAUGCGCCGAUUUUCAUUAGUCGGCACUCCUAAAAUGUAGCUCUUGGCUGUUUCCUACUACAGCAGUUUGGCCUAAUAGUUUUGACUUUUGUCAAAUCUUUGGCUACAUUUGCUUCUGGAAAUCAGUCUUGAUAAUACAGAAAACUCAUUUCAAACUUUGAUCUGAAAUCAGGUAGGGCUACCCGCUGAACUUAA
rnacentral:misc_RNA from 1 species